CUUCUCUUGAAUAUCCUUGGCAGAAGCGACAAUGGAAGGGUGUUGUAGACGGCUACACCUAUCCAAAUCUAUUGACUUCAAGCAGAAAAUUUCUCCAAAACU